rnacentral:rRNA from 1 species
CCUACGGGAGGCUGCAGUGGGGAAUAUUGGGCAAUGGGCGCAAGCCUGACCCAGCAACGCAGCGUGAAGGAAGACGGCUUUCGGGUUGUAAACUUCUUUUGUCAGGGAAGUGUAGAAGACGGUACCUGCCGAAUAAGCCACGGCUAACUACGUGCCAGCAGCCGCGGUAAUACGUAGGUGGCAAGCGUUAUCCGGAUUUACUGGGUGUAAAGGGCGUGUAGGCGGGAGUGCAAGUCAGAUGUGAAAGUUAUGGGCUCAACCCAUAGCCUGCAUUUGAAACUGUACUUCUUGAGUGCAGGAGAGGCAAUCGGAAUUCGGGGUGUAGCGGUGAAAUGCGUAGAUAUACGGAGGAACACCAGUGGCGAAGGCGGAUUGCUGGACAGUAACUGACGCUGAGGCGCGAAAGCGUGGGGAGCAAACAGGAUUAGAUACCCCUGUAGUC